AGCGAGAUGGCGCAGCUGGUAGCGCGCUGGGCUCAUAUUCAUCUUCGUCGGAUUCGAAACGUGGUUGUGUGUAGUGUACCCAGAGGUCGUCGGAUCGAAACUGACUCUCGCUA
rfam:Puccinia graminis f. sp. tritici CRL 75-36-700-3 supercont2.36 genomic scaffold, whole genome shotgun sequence.